UACGUAGGGGGCAAGCGUUGUCCGGAAUCAUUGGGCGUAAAGAGCGUGUAGGCGGUCCGGUCAGUCGGUUGUGAAAGUCAAGGGCUCAACCCUUGAAUGCCGGCCGAUACUGCCGGGCUAGAGUCCGGAAGAGGUGAGUGGAAUUCCUGGUGUAGCGGUGAAAUGCGCAGAUAUCAGGAGGAACACCAAUGGCGAAGGCAGCUCACUGGGACGGUAUUGACGCUGAGACGCGAAAGCGUGGGGAGCAAACAGG
rnacentral:rRNA from 1 species